GCGCGGGUAAUGCAGUGGUUAGCACGUGCCUCUGGAAAGGGUGAAGUGCGGGUUCGAAUCCUGUUCAACGUC